ensembl:lncRNA
UCUCUCACCAUCCCAGCCCAAGAUGAUCUCAUCUGUCAUUCCUCACUGAUUAUCAAGCAUCAUUUAUUAUCCUUUUGUGUCCAGUUUCUUUGCAUCUCCAGGCCAUGACUUAUACAUUUUGGCCUCAAAUUCCUGCUGACCAGGAAGAUCUGCUGAGCAUCUCCGGGGUGGAGAAAGGACCAUCACACCACAACAACGGUAAUCAACUCUGGAAUGGAAAAGACUGGCGGCAUGUCCAGGAUAAAGAGGAGCCCAGGUUGUGCUGUUAGGCCUUGAACAAGUACCAGCAGGCAUGCCCAUCAAAGAAAGAUGGCAGUUUUCUCUCCUUAGGGUUCUACUUUGCCUGCUUAAGCCCAGAAGUGGGAUUCCCCACAGCAACAGAGGACCCCGCAUCACUUACCCAAGAAAAGAGGAACAGGGCGCUUUAUGAGACCUUGGAUCCGGCUCCCAAGCCUGUCCUGUGUUACACCACCAAGCUCGGGGGUGUGUGUGGGGGGAGGUGGGCGCGUGUUGUUUCUCCCGCCCCACACACUAGGUGGAGGAGUUGUAAAGGGGAUUCGAGGAGUCAGGGAACUCAGGCCCCUGUUGGCUGGACAAAGCUCAACUGCAGGACUUGUGCAUGUCUGUGUGCAAAGCCUUGGCCUUAGAGUGAAAGCCGUGGGUCCCCAGAGGACCCUAAUCUGACGGAAACAUCCGGGCAGACUGUCCCGGCCCUCAGGCAUUUUGCACCAUCAUUUAAACUCAAAUUUGCUUAAAGCAGAGAAGUGAGGGUCACAGUCACAGAGUGAGCGGAGGGGACUGGAGGAGACAUGGACAUCGGUUAUGCAGGGCCCCCCGCCCCUAGCUUAGAGCUAAAACCUCGAGACCCAGAGGAGUUGACCUGUGACAGGGAAUAAUUAAGGUCUCAGGUACCUUCUUAAACGGACAGAACAGGACUGUAUAGUUUGCCCUUUGGC